CCCUGGUAGUCCACGCCGUAAACGAUGUCGACUUGGAGGUUGUGCCCUUGAGGCGUGGCUUCCGGAGCUAACGCGUUAAGUCGACCGCCUGGGGAGUACGGCCGCAAGGUUAAAACUCAAAUGAAUUGACGGGGGCCCGCACAAGCGGUGGAGCAUGUGGUUUAAUUCGAUGCAACGCGAAGAACCUUACCUGGUCUUGACAUCCACGGAAGUUUUCAGAGAUGAGAAUGUGCCUUCGGGAACCGUGAGACAGGUGCUGCAUGGCUGUCGUCAGCUCGUGUUGUGAAAUGUUGGGUUAAGUCCCGCAACGAGCGCAACCCUUAUCCUUUGUUGCCAGCGGUCCGGCCGGGAACUCAAAGGAGACUGCCAGUGAUAAACUGGAGGAAGGUGGGGAUGACGUCAAGUCAUCAUGGCCCUUACGACCAGGGCUACACACGU
rnacentral:rRNA from 1 species